AUGGGACAAAAAAUAAAUCCACUCGGUUUUAGACUUGGUACAACCCAAAAACACCAUUCCUUUUGCUUCGCACAACCAAAAAAUUAUUCUGUAGAAAUCCAAAAAGGAAACGAUACGAUCCAUGUCAUAAUCCAUAUUGGAUUACCAAAUUUAUUAAAGAAAAAAGGAGCAAUCGAAGAAUUAGAGAAAGAUCUACAAAAAGAAAUUAACUCUGUAAACCAGAGAUUUAAUAUUUCUAUCGAAAAAGUUAAAGAACCUUAUAGACAGCCUAACAUUCUUGUAGAAUAUAUAGCUUUCCAAUCCAAAAAUAGAGUUUCAUUCCAAAAGGCAACGAAAAAAUCCAUUGAAUUAACUAAAAAAGCAGAUAUAAGGGGAGGUAGACUUCCCCUCCAAACAAUUCGCACUAAAAUUGUUUAUUGCUGCUAUCCAAUUCGGACUAUCAUGGAGUAUUAG
rnacentral:rRNA from 1 species